AUCGAUCAUUCACUCCAGAGGUAGAUCUUUGUUGUGAAGAGAUGUUCAACUCUGCUGUAUCGAUCGUUCACUGCAGAGGUAGAUCUUUGUUGUGAAGAGAUGUUCAACUCUCUGCUGUAUCGAUCGUUCACUCCAGACGUAGAUCUUUGUUGUGAUGAGAUGUUCAACUCUCUGCUGUAUGGAUCGUUCACUGCAGACGUAGAUCUUUGUUGUGAUGAGAUGUUCAACUCUCUGCUGUAUGGAUCGUUCCCUCCAGAGGUAGAUCUUUGUUCUGAAGAGAUGUUCAACUCUCUGCUCUAAAGGGCCUCAGCUCCUACUGGUGUUUAUAAGGCUCCUGUCACGAACGACCGCUUCACCUUCUAUUUACUUGAUGUGGAUGUUACUGGUUGUUUUACUGUGUUAUGUUACAUGUAGUGUUUUAACACCACUCUGAACCACACACUGAGUCGCCUGGUUUGUGCUCUGAACAACGGUUGUUGUUGUCAUUGUCAAGCUAAACGUAAAGUAAAAAAGCACAAACAGACUGUGGACUCAGGCUAGAAUCUGAGGGCCCGCUCCAGAGCAGUCUGUAUCUGUAAGGGUUGAAUCCUAGAAUCUGAGGGCACGUUACAGAGCAGUCUGUAUCUGUAAUCUGAGGGCCCGCUACAGAGCAGUCUGUAUCUGUAAUCUGAGGGCCCGCUACAGAGCAGUCUGUAUCUGUAAGUGUUGAAUCCUAGAAUCUGAGGGCCCGCUACAGAGCAGUCUGUAUCUGUAAGGGUUGAAUCCUAGAAUCUGAGGGCCCGCUACAGAGCAGUCUAUAUCUGUAAGGGUUGAAUCCUAGAAUCUGAGGGCACGUUACAGAGCAGUCUGGAUCUGUAAGGGUUGAAUCCUAGAAUCUGAGGGCACGUUACAGAGCAGUCUAUAUCUGUAAGGGUUGAAUCCUAGAAUCUGAGGGCCCACUACAGAGCAGUCUGUAUCUGUAAGGGUUGAAUCCUAGAAUCUGAGGGCCCGCUCCAGAGCAGUCUGGAUCUGUAAGGGUUGAAUCCUAGAAUCUGAGGGCCCACUACAGAGCAGUCUGUAUCUGUAAGGCUUGAAUCCUAUAAUCUGAGGGCACGUUACAGAGCAGUCUAUAUCUGUAAUCUGAGGGCCCGCUACAGAGCAGUCUGUAUCUGUAAGGCUUGAAUCCUAUAAUCUGAGGGCCGGCUACAGAGCAGUCUAUAUCUGUAAUCUGAGGGCCCGCUACAGAGCAGUCUGUAUCUGUAAGGCUUGAAUCCUAUAAUCUGAGGGCACGUUACAGAGCAGUCUAUAUCUGUAAUCUGAGGGCCCGCUACAGAGCAGUCUGUAUCUGUAAGGCUUGAAUCCUAUAAUCUGAGGGCCCGCUACAGAGCAGUCUGGAUCUGUAAGGGUUGAAUCCUAUAAUCUGAGGGCACGUUGCAGAGCAGUCUGUAUCUGUAAGGGUUGAAUCCUAUAAUCUGAGGGCCCGCUACAGAGCAGUCUGUAUCUGUAAGGGUUGAAUCCUAGAAUCUGAGGGCCCGCUACAGAGCAGUCUGGAUCUGUAAGGGUUGAAUCCUAGAAUCUGAGGGCCCGCUACAGAGCAGUCUGUAUCUGUAAGGGUUGAAUCCUAGAAUCUGAGGGCCCGCUACAGAGCAGUCUGUAUCUGUAAGGGUUGAAUCCUAGAAUCUAAGGGCCCGCUACAGAGCAGUCUGUAUCUGUAAGGGUUGAAUCCUAGAAUCUGAGGGCCCGCUACAGAGCAGUCUGUAUCUGUAAGGGUUGAAUCCUAGAAUCUGAGGGCACGUUACAGAGCAGUCUGGAUCUGUAAGGGUUGAAUCCUAUAAUCUGAGGGCCCGCUACAGAGCAGUCUGUAUCUGUAAGGCUUGAAUCCUAGAAUUUGAGGGCACGUUACAGAGCAGUCUGUAUCUGUAAGGGUUGAAUCCUAGAAUCUGAGGGCCCGCUACAGAGCAGUCUGUAUCUGUAAUCUGAGGGCCCGCUACAGAGCAGUCUGUAUCUGUAAGGGUUGAAUCCUAGAAUCUGAGGGCCCGCUACAGAGCAGUCUGUAUCUGUAAUCUGAGGGCCCGCUACAGAGCAGUCUGUAUCUGUAAUCUGAGGGCCCGCUACAGAGCAGUCUGUAUCUGUAAGGCUUGAAUCCUAUAAUCUGAGGGCCCGCUACAGAGCAGUCUGUAUCUGUAAGGGUUGAAUCCUAUAAUCUGAGGGCCCGCUACAGAGCAGUCUGGAUCUGUAAUCUGAGGGCCCGCUACAGAGCAGUCUGUAUCUGUAAUCUGAGGGCCCGCUACAGAGCAGUCUGUAUCUGUAAGGCUUGAAUCCUAUAAUCUGAGGGCCCGCUACAGAGCAGUCUGUAUCUGUAAGGGUUGAAUCCUAGAAUCUGAGGGCCCGCUACAGAGCAGUCUGUAUCUGUAAUCUGAGGGCCCGCUACAGAGCAGUCUGUAUCUGUAAGGGUUGAAUCCUAGAAUCUGAGGGCCCGUUACAGAGCAGUCUGUAUCUGUAAUCUGAGGGCCCGCUACAGAGCAGUCUGGAUCUGUAAGGGUUGAAUCCUAGAAUCUGAGGGCACGUUGCAGAGCAGUCUGUAUCUGUAAUCUGAGGGCCCGCUACAGAGCAGUCUGUAUCUGUAAUCUGAGGGCCCGCUACAGAGCAGUCUGUAUCUGUAAGUGUUGAAUCCUAGAAUCUGAGGGCCCGCUACAGAGCAGUCUGUAUCUGUAAGGGUUGAAUCCUAGAAUCUGAGGGCCCGCUACAGAGCAGUCUAUAUCUGUAAGGGUUGAAUCCUAGAAUCUGAGGGCACGUUACAGAGCAGUCUGUAUCUGUAAGCAUUGAAUCCUAGAAUCUGAGGGCCCGCUACAGAGCAGUCUAUAUCUGUAAGGGUUGAAUCCUAGAAUCUGAGGGCCCGCUACAGAGCAGUCUAUAUCUGUAAGGGUUGAAUCCUAGAAUCUGAGGGCCCGCUACAGAGCAGUCUAUAUCUGUAAGGUUUGAAUCCUAGAAUCUGAGGGCCCGCUACAGAGCAGUCUGGAUCUGUAAGGGUUGAAUCCUAGAAUCUGAGGGCAGGUUACAGAGCAGUCUAUAUCUGUAAGGGUUGAAUCCUAGAAUCUGAGGGCCCACUACAGAGCAGUCUAUAUCUGUAAGGGUUGAAUCCUAGAAUCUGAGGGCCCGCUACAGAGCAGUCUGGAUCUGUAAGGCUUGAAUCCUAGAAUCUGAGGGCAGGUUACAGAGCAGUCUGUAUCUGUAAGGCUUGAAUCCUAGAAUCUGAGGGCAGGUUACAGAGCAGUCUAUAUCUGUAAUCUGAGGGCCCGCUACAGAGCAGUCUGUAUCUGUAAUCUGAGGGCCCGCUACAGAGUAGUCUUUAUCUGUAAGGGUUGAAUCCUAGAAUCUGAGGGCCCGCUACAGAGCAGUCUUUAUCUGUAAGGGUUGAAUCCUAGAAUCUGAGGGCCCGCUACAGAGCAGUCUGUAUCUGUAAGGGUUGAAUCCUAGAAUCUGAGGGCACGUUACAGAGCAGUCUGGAUCUGUAAGGGUUGAAUCCUAUAAUCUGAGGGCCCGCUACAGAGCAGUCUGUAUCUGUAAGGCUUGAAUCCUAGAAUUUGAGGGCACGUUACAGAGCAGUCUGUAUCUGUAAGGGUUGAAUCCUAGAAUCUGAGGGCCCGCUACAGAGCAGUCUGUAUCUGUAAUCUGAGGGCCCGCUACAGAGCAGUCUGUAUCUGUAAGGGUUGAAUCCUAGAAUCUGAGGGCCCGCUACAGAGCAGUCUGUAUCUGUAAUCUGAGGGCCCGCUACAGAGCAGUCUGUAUCUGUAAUCUGAGGGCCCGCUACAGAGCAGUCUGUAUCUGUAAGGCUUGAAUCCUAUAAUCUGAGGGCCCGCUACAGAGCAGUCUGUAUCUGUAAGGGUUGAAUCCUAUAAUCUGAGGGCCCGCUACAGAGCAGUCUGGAUCUGUAAUCUGAGGGCCCGCUACAGAGCAGUCUGUAUCUGUAAUCUGAGGGCCCGCUACAGAGCAGUCUGUAUCUGUAAGGCUUGAAUCCUAUAAUCUGAGGGCCCGCUACAGAGCAGUCUGUAUCUGUAAGGCUUGAAUCCUAGAAUCUGAGGGCCCGCUACAGAGCAGUCUGGAUCUGUAAUCUGAGGGCCCGCUACAGAGCAGUCUGGAUCUGUAAGGCUUGAAUCCUAGAAUCUGAGGGCCCGCUACAGAGCAGUCUGUA